rnacentral:rRNA from 1 species
UUGUACACACCCGCCCGUCGCUCUUACCGAUUGAAUGGUCCGGUGAAGUUUUCGGAUCGCGGCGACGCCGGCGKUUCGCCGCCGGUGACGUUGUGAGAAGUUCAUUAAACCUUAUCAUUUAGAGGAAGGAGAAGUCGUAACAAGGUUUCCGUAGGUGAACCUGCGGAAGGAUCAUUG